UACGAAGGGGGCUAGCGUUGUUCGGAAUCACUGGGCGUAAAGGGCGCGUAGGCGGCCGUUCAAGUCGGGGGUGAAAGCCUGUGGCUCAACCACAGAAUGGCCUUCGAUACUGUUUGGCUUGAGACCGGAAGAGGUCAGUGGAACUGCGAGUGUAGAGGUGAAAUUCGUAGAUAUUCGCAAGAACACCAGUGGCGAAGGCGGCUGACUGGUCCGGUUCUGACGCUGAGGCGCGAAAGCUAGGGGAGCAAACGGG
rnacentral:rRNA from 1 species